GAUGAACGCUGGCGGCGUGCUUAACACAUACAAGUCGAACGAUGAAGCCCAGCUUGCUGGGUGGAUUAGUGGCGAACGGGUGAGUAACACGUGAGUAACCUGCCCUUAACUCUGGGAUAAGCCUGGGAAACUGGGUCUAAUACCGGAUAGGAGCGUCCACCGCAUGGUGGGUGUUGGAAAGAUUUAUCGGUUUUGGAUGGACUCGCGGCCUAUCAGCUUGUUGGUGAGGUAAUGGCUCACCAAGGCGACGACGGGUAGCCGGCCUGAGAGGGUGACCGGCCACACUGGGACUGAGACACGGCCCAGACUCCUACGGGAGGCAGCAGUGGGGAAUAUUGCACAAUGGGCGCAAGCCUGAUGCAGCGACGCCGCGUGAGGGAUGACGGCCUUCGGGUUGUAAACCUCUUUCAGUAGGGAAGAAGCGAAAGUGACGGUACCUGCAGAAGAAGCACCGGCUAACUACGUG
rnacentral:rRNA from 1 species